GCAGCCGCGGUAAUUCCCAGCUUCAGUAGCAUAUAUUAAGUUGCUGCGGUUAAAAGGCUCGCAGUUGAAACUCAGUACUGAGCGCAGGCAGGUGGACGUUGGGGCGUGGGAAUCAACGGACCGUGGUACGGACGCGUUCGCGCGCAUCGGCCACGCCCGUCUCACAAGCCCCCGUCCGUGAACAGCCUCCUCGCUUGUGUACAUAUCGGAAUUAGUAUAACGGAGUGUACGCGGUGCUCGCAUCGAUUCGUGCUGUCAGAGCGCAAGCCCUGCUUCGCGUUGACGUGUUGAGGCCCGUACGUCAAGCUCCUUCGGUUUCAUAGUCACCUUGAGUAAAUCAGAGUGCUCAAAGCAGUCGUAGGGGCCUUGUGCCCUGUGAAAAGUCUUAACGGACUGACUUGGUUUUGCAUGGCAUGUUGGAAUACGACGUCGCGUGCUGGCUCAGAGAUUUAUAUCGGUGGUGUAAGCCAGCCGCGACGUACUGAUUAAAAGGGUUGGUCGAGGGCAUCGGUAUUGCGGGGCGAGAGGUGAAAUUCUAUGACCCCCGCAAGACCUCCUGAAGCGAAAGCGUUUGCCAAGGACGAUUUCAUUAAUCAUGAACGAAAGUUAGAGGAUCGAAGACGAUC
rnacentral:rRNA from 1 species